UACGAAGGGGGCUAGCGUUGCUCGGAAUCACUGGGCGUAAAGCGCACGUAGGCGGCUUUUAAGUCAGAGGUGAAAUCCUGGAGCUCAACUCCAGAACUGCCUUUGAUACUGAGAGGCUUGAGUCCGGGAGAGGUGAGUGGAACUGCGAGUGUAGAGGUGAAAUUCGUAGAUAUUCGCAAGAACACCAGUGGCGAAGGCGGCUCACUGGCCCGUACUGACGCUGAGGUGCGAAAGCGUGGGAGCAACAGG
rnacentral:rRNA from 1 species